CAUGCUACCCUGAACAAGCCCAAUCCCAUCUGAUCUUGGAAGCUAAGCAGGGUCGGGCCUGGUUAGUACUGAGAUGGGAGACCACUUAGGUGUAAAAAAU
rnacentral:rRNA from 1 species